rnacentral:rRNA from 1 species
AUUGAACGCUGGCGGAAUGCUUUACACAUGCAAGUCGAGCGGCAGCGCGGGGCAACCUGGCGGCGAGCGGCGAACGGGUGAGUAAUACAUCGGAACGUACCCAGUUGUGGGGGAUAGCCCGGCGAAAGCCGGAUUAAUACCGCAUACGACCUGAGGGUGAAAGUGGGGGAUCGCAAGACCUCACGCAGUUGGAGCGGCCGAUGGCGGAUUAGCUAGUUGGUGGGGUAAAGGCCUACCAAGGCGACGAUCCGUAGCGGGUCUGAGAGGACGACCCGCCACACUGGAACUAAGACACGGUCCAGACUCCUACGGGAGGCAGCAGUGGGGAAUUUUGGACAAUGGGGGCAACCCUGAUCCAGCCAUUCCGCGUGAGUGAAGAAGGCCUUCGGGUUGUAAAGCUCUCUCGGCAGGAACGAAACGGUAGGCUCUAACAUAGCCUGCUAAUGACGGUACCUGAAGAAGAAGCACCGGCUAACUACGUGCCAGCCGCCGCAGUAA